rnacentral:rRNA from 1 species
GGGGUUAGUGGCGCACGGGUGCGUAACGCGUGGGAACCUGCCUUUAGGUUCGGAAUAACUCAGAGAAAUUUGAGCUAAUACCGGAUAAUGUCUUCGGACCAAAGAUUUAUCGCCUUUAGAUGGGCCCGCGUUAGAUUAGAUAGUUGGUGGGGUAAUGGCCUACCAAGUCGACGAUCUAUAGCUGGUCUGAGAGGAUGAUCAGCCACACUGGGACUGAGACACGGCCCAGACUCCUACGGGAGGCAGCAGUGGGGAAUAUUGGACAAUGGGCGAAAGCCUGAUCCAGCAAUGCCGCGUGAGUGAUGAAGGCCUUAGGGUUGUAAAGCUCUUUUACCAGGGAUGAUAAUGACAGUACCUGGAGAAUAAGCUCCGGCUAACUCCGUGCCAGCAGCCGCGGUAAUACGGAGGGA